rnacentral:tRNA from 2 species
GGGUCGAUGCCCGAGUGGUUAAUGGGGACGGAUUGUAAAUCCGUUGGCUACGCCUACGUCAGUUCAAAUCUGACUCGACCCA